rnacentral:lncRNA from 1 species
AUGUCUUAUGUAUGCUCGAUGCAGAGGAUGAUUGAUCUCACAAUCAUUUGUGUGGAGACACUAAUACAAAGAUGUGGGUGCUCAUUAGAGGAAUGAGUUCACUGAAUUGACCUACAAGGAGAAAUCUUAUGAAGUCUUACUUACAUGUCAAAAGAUGAUUCUCUUAGUGGAAGUUGUGCAACUGAUCCUAUGACCUGAGAUCA